rnacentral:rRNA from 1 species
UACGUAGGGUGCAAGCGUUUGUCCGGAAUUAUUGGGCGUAAAGAGCUCGUAGGCGGCUUGUCGCGUCGAAUGUGAAAUCUCAGGGCUCAACUCUGACAUUGCAUUCGAUACGGGCAGGCUAGAGUUCGGUAGGGGAGAUCGGAAUUCCUGGUGUAGCGGUGAAAUGCGCAGAUAUCAGGAGGAACACCGGUGGCGAAGGCGGAUCUCUGGGCCGAUACUGACGCUGAGGAGCGAAAGCGUGGGGAGCGAACAGG